CUGUGUUCAGCGCGCACAGUGCCUGGCAGGAACAGAUGUUGAAUGAACGUCUGUCAGUGUCUCUGCAAGAGCAGAGGUUUAUAACCCGGCCUACGCCUCCUCAGAACUCUGAAAAAUGUACCUUUUCCACCUCACAAGGCUUGGUUCCACUUUCUGACAGCAAGAGAACAUUGCGAAGAGAAAUGUGAAUGGGUUUCAUCAUGAUUUCUGAUAAGACAUUGUGUUGACCUUUUGAGGUACAGCCACAGAUCAGCAGAGGUACUAAGAACAUACAUGUGGAAAAGACAAUUUCUUCGAUAGAUGAUAUUGAGAAAGCUGGAUGUCCACAUGCAGAAGGAUGAAAUUGGACCUUUAUCUCACAUCAUAGAUAAAAAUCAACUCAGAAUGGAUUAAAGACUUAAACAUAAGGUCUGAAGCUGUAAAACUAGUAGAAGGAAAUAGGAGAAAGCUUCAUAACAUUG